UAUGGGGGAUUUGAACAUGCAG
rnacentral:siRNA from 1 species